rnacentral:tRNA from 1 species
GCUUGGGUGGUGGAAUUGGUAGACACGCAGGACUUAAAAUCCUGUAUCUUCACGGAUGUACGGGUUCAAGUCCCGUCCCGAGUA